UACAGAGGUCCCAAGCGUUGUUCGGAUUCAUUGGGCGUAAAGGGUGCGUAGGAGGGCAGGUAAGUCAGUGUGAAAUCUCCGAGCUUAACUUGGAAACUGCCAUUGAUACUAUCUGUCUUGAAUAUUGGUGGAGGUAGCGGAAUAUGUCAUGUAGCGGUGAAAUGCUUAGAGAUGACAUAGAACACCCAAUUGCGAAGGCAG
rnacentral:rRNA from 1 species